GAUGAACGCUGGCGGCGUGCCUAAUACAUGCAAGUCGAGCGAACAGACGAGGAGCUUGCUCCUCUGACGUUAUCGGCGGACGGGUGAGUAACACGUGGAUAACCUACCUAUAAGACUGGGAUAACUUCGGGAAACCGGAGCUAAUACCGGAUAAUAUAUUGAACCGCAUGGUUCAAUAGUGAAAGACGGUUUUGCUGUCACUUAUAGAUGGAUCCGCGCCGCAUUAGCUAGUUGGUAAGGUAACGGCUUACCAAGGCAACGAUGCGUAGCCGACCUGAGAGGGUGAUCGGCCACACUGGAACUGAGACACGGUCCAGACUCCUACGGGAGGCAGCAGUAGGGAAUCCUCCGCAAUGGGGGAAAGCUUGACGGAGCAACGCCGCGUGAGUGAUGAAGGUCUUCGGAUCGUAAAACUCUGUUAUUAGGGAAGAACAAAUGUGUAAGUAACUAUGCACGUCUUGACGGUACCUAAUCAGAAAGCCACGGCUAACUACGUG
rnacentral:rRNA from 1 species